GUUUCCCUUUUGGUGCAUCUCAGAUAAGCCUUAAAUCCCAGCAGAAUAUUUUAUUCAGUUAAAGUCUCGUGUGCUUAUUCGAAAUACAAGUCGAUGAAUGAGUCUCUGAACAGAUUACAAGGUUCUCGUUUCUCCUUAUUUUGCCAGCUCUCCGUCCACAAACACCGUCCUCACUUUCUUUCUGUUUAGCCGAGCACCCACCCCACCGACCCCAUCCUUGCCCCAUCAUAUAAUUUAUCCCCCUCUCUCUCUCACUCACUCACACACACACUCCCUCUCUCUCUCGUUUUCUCUCCGCCCACUACAGCUACAGGAUCCGGUUAGUUUCUUUGGCAGAUACUUUGCUCUCCAUCUUGGCCCAGCUCCUUGCCUUCUGAGAGAAAUGGCAGACCGGUUAUGAACAGGCAGCUUUGUGUUUGAAUUCCUGGCCAUUUGUGGGUCAGCUCCCGCGGGGGUUGGGGUGGAGGGGGGGGCGGUGUUCCGUUCUGCUUUCUGAACUCAUGUAGAAUGUCCUUUGUGUCUGCUGAAUUAUGAGCUGCAAAGCUCCCAUCUCAUUUUCUCUUUUAUAUCUGUACACGCAAAAUGCUUUAAAAAUGCAAAAGAGAAAUCAAAGCCAUUUCUUUUCAAGUUUUGAACGUGUUUUCAAUUUGGUCACAUUUUCAUAUGGUAAUGAAUUUAAUUUGGUUGAAAGAGUAUUACAUGGGGUUAACUUGCUGAAAUUUCAGCCAAUCCCUCCCGUCGUGAAUCGUGUAUGGGUUGCGAGCAUGUUGUGAGGGAAUUUUUUUCUCUGUCUCGCUUUUCAUUCCCAGUGGCCCCCCCCCCCUCCUCCCACCACUCUGCCCCCACACCCCACCACUCCCCCAUCCCUCCGAUCCCUCUGUGGCUGAGAACGGAGAAGCUGCUGAUCGAGAUUGUGUUCAGCUGUUCCAGACAAGCGACUAUAACGCUCCUGAGGCACCAGUGGCCAUUUUGAGGAACACAUUGACCAAGAUGGGGAAGGUAUCACAUGGUGAAAAGAAGGAUUAAUUGAUGCUGUCCUGUCAGAUGUUGAACAGCUCUCGGUUGUCGCUUUGGUUACUGUUUCCUGAGGCAACAGACUGACGGAAGUAAAGAUAUUGAGAAAAUGUGCAAAGACCAGCAUGAAAUGAAAGGUUCUACGACAGUCCUGUGACAACAAGAUAGAGCUCCGUCUACAGAAUUCACACUCAAAUGACAAAUGCUGGAAUUGGACAUCGGAAUCAAGCACUGCCGUGCGGGUGUUCGAGCGUUGCCAUGGUUACUGGCCUCCUGCUCACUCGCCUGAAGAGUCCAGAUGAAAAUUGGCUUGUCAGUCAGUGAGGGGCUCACUGCAGUGCCACAGUUUGCAUCAGGCACCCUGGGGUGUGUACCUCAGUCUCCCGGUGUUACAGGAUAAUGGAUAUUCUGUACAUCUCAUACUCCGUUCCGUGAUUCCCUCCCAAAGCAAGAAUAUCGCACCUCAGUUAAAAAUAAUGAAUUCACAACAUUCGGGUCUCAUGAAUCACUUCAAGUAGAAAGCAAUACCUUACUAUGCAGCCUUGAGGUUUGAGGAGCUUCCAUCGUUACGACAGGGUUGAAGUUUCUAUAUUGCUAUUUCAAAGAGAAGCCUGGGGAGUCAUCCUCAGUGCUUCCGGGCAUUAUUUAUCCCUCAACCAACCUGACUAAAAAUGGAAUUCUAUUUAUGGGACCUCCAUGAGCAUGGAUCAGCUUCCACGUCACCAUUGUAACUGCUGUUCACAAAGGCCAUGGCCUGUUGACUAUUAAUCCAGAGAUCUGGGGAAUAUUCUGGGCACCUGGGUUCAAAUCCCACUGUGGCAGGUAUCGGAAUUCAACAAAAAUCUGGAACUAAAAGUCUAAUGUUGACAAUUGUUUGGGAAAACCCAUUUGGCUCACUAAUUUCCUUUAGGGAAGGUAACUGCUAUCCUUACUAAGUCUGCAUGUGACCCAGAGCAAUAUGAUCGAUUCUCUGCCUAGAAUUAGACACAGUCUUUCAGCUGAGGUCUGACCAGAGACUCUUGAUGAUAGGGUGGAGAGCAUGGGAAUGUGAAAUAGGCUGGAGUUGGAGGACUAUAGUGAAAUGAAAGGAAUUGGAUUGGAACAGGUUAUGGGAUUAGGAUGGGAUGAGACUCUGAAAAGAUUUACUAUUCACAGCUUUUUUUUAUUCACUCAUGGGACAUGGCCGUGCUGCCUGGCGAGCAUUUGAUGCCCAUCCCUAGUUGCCCUUGAGAAAGUGGUGGUGAACCCCUGCAGUCCACGUCCAGUAGGUAGACCCACAAUGUCUUUCGGGAGGGAAUUCCAGAACUUAUGAUAUAAUACCACUGAAGGAAAAGUGAUAUAUUUCCAAUUCAGAAUGGUGAGUGGCUUGGAGGGGAACUUGCAGUCAGUGGUUGUCCACCUAGAUGGAAUUGGUUUUGCGUUUGGAAAGUUCUGUCUGAGGAUCUUUAGUGAAUUUAUACUGUGCAUCUUGUAGGUAGUACAUACAGCUGCAACUGAGCUUCGAUGGUAUUCUUUGAGUGGAUGUUUGUGGAUGUGGUGGCAAUCAAGGGAGCUGCUUUUUCCUGGAUGGUGUCAAGCUUCUUGAGUGUUGUUGGGGCUGCACUCAUCCAAGCAAGUGGGGAGUAUUCCAAGUGCUGUCAAGUGGUGCUUGCAGGAGAAUUGGAUUUAGGAGGAAAUGGGAUCACGGUGAUACCAUUUAUUCAACAAGAGAAAUGUAAUAUUCAUAUGGCAACUUUAUAUUUGUAUAGCAUCUAUAAUGUAAAGAAAAUCCCAGGUUCUUCACAGAAGCAUUAUAAAAGAAUAUAUGAUACUACUUCGCCUUAGGAGUUUGGUCAAAUUGCCAAGAAUUUGGUCAAAGAAGUUGGUUUUAAGAUGUGUUGUAAAACAGGAGAGAAGGGCAGAGAGGUAUGGAAGCAAAGCAGCUGAAAGCAUGGUCACCCAUGGUGAAUUAAUACAGAAAAUGUAAUGGAGGCCAGAUUUAGUGCAAGUGCAAGUAUUCUGGAGGGCACCUACAUAUGAAUUAGGAACAGACGUAGGCCACUCGGCCUGUCAGCCCCUCGUACCUGCUCUGCUGUUCAACAAGAUCACGGCUGAUUGGAUUAUUCCACCAUAUUCUCGACAACCUUUCACCCUUUGUUUAUCAAGAAUCUUGAAAAAUAUUCAAGCACUCUGCCUCUGCCAUCUUUAGAGAGAGUUCCAAAAACUCUCAACCCUUUGGCUGUGAAACAGUUCAGCUUAUCCGUCUUAAAUGGGAGAUCCCUUAUAUUGAAACAGUCACCCCAGUUCUAAAUUCUCCCACAAGAAGAAAAAUUCCUUUUCACAUCUAUCCUGUCAAGACCCCUUUAGAUCUAAUAAUUUUCAAUCAAGUCCAGUCUUACUUGUCUAAACUCCUGUAGAUGCAGGAGCCUGUCCAACUUUUUCUUACAAGCCAAUCUGCCCAUUCCACAUAACCUUUUCUGAACUGUUUUGAUGGGGGCUAAAGGAGAUUAGAGAGUUAGGAAAGGAUAAAACCUCAGAGGGAUUUGAAACCAAAAGGAAGGGAAUUUUCAAAACAAGACUAGGUGUCAAAAGCAAGAAUGGGGUGAGUUGAGACACAGAGUUCUGCAUGAUCCCAAAUUUGCAUUGGUGGGAAGGGUAGACUGUUUGGGACCAGUCAGGAGUUCAUUGAAGUAGUUGAGUCCAGCGGUAACAAAGGCACAGAUGAGGAUUUCAGCAGUGAAUCAGCUGUGGAUGAGCAGAGUCUGGUGGGAUUAAGAGGGUGGAAAUAGGUGGAUUUGGUGAUGGUAUGGACAUGUGACUGGAAGCUCAUUCUGCGACUGAACAUGACUCCAAGAUUGAGGCUUGAUAGUCUCAAACUGUCACUUAGGGAGAGGGAUGAGGAGCAGAAUAUGGAGCAAGGGUAGAAAACCAAUGGUUUCUGUCUUCCCAAUAUUUAAUUGGAGGAAAUUUCUGUACAUCCAAUAUUGGAAUCACUAAAAGUAAACUGGUAAUUUAGCAAAAAUGGAAGAAAAAUGCUGAUACUUAGCUUUUGAUCUUGCAAUUGACAGUGAAGAAGGUUACCUCAGAUUCCUGAAGAAGGGCUUAUGCCCGAAACGUCGAUUCUCCUGUUCCUUGGA